rnacentral:rRNA from 1 species
GUUAAGUAUCCUACCUGGGGAGUACAGUCGCAAGACCGAAACUCAAAGGAAUUGACGGGGGCUCGCACAAGCGGUGGAACACGUGGUUUAAUUCGAUGCUAAGCGAAAAACCUUACCGGGGUUUGACAUGCUGAUAGUACGAUCCUGAAAGGGAAAGGACCCGCCUUUGGCGGGAAUCAGCACAGGUGCUGCAUGGCUGUCGUCAGUUCGUGUCGUGAGAUGUUGGGUUAAGUCCCGUAACGAGCGCAACCCCUAUCUUUAGUUGUUCCGGUUAAUUCCGGGAAUCUCUAAAGAAACCGCCUCAGAUAAUGGGGAGGAAGGCGGGGAUGACGUCAAGUCCGCAUGGCCCUUAUGUCCCGGGCUACACACGUGUUACAAUGGGGCCGACAGAGAGUUGCAAGAUCGCAAGAUGGAGCUAAUCUCUAAACGGUCCCUUAGUUCAGAUUGUAGGCUGCAAUUCGCCUACAUGAAGUAGGAAUCGCUAGUAAUCGCGGAUCAGCAGGCCGCGGUGAAUACGUUCCCGAGCCUUGUACACACCGCCCGUCACACCAUGAAAGCUGGGAGUACCUGAAGUUCUGAGUAAUCGGAACAAGGGUAAAACCAGUAAUUGGGGUGAAGUCGUAACAAGGUAGCCGUAUCGGAAGGUGCGGCUGGAUCACCUCCUUUCU